CUCACACCAUCAUGAUCCUGAUAAACUCAACGGCUGCAAUGAAUACAACUGCUGCACCCAUUAGUUCCCAGCAAAUAGGAGAGAAAUUAAUUACAGUUACUAACAACAUGGCUGUUCCAGAAAAGCCUUUCCCCCCUUUUGGGAAAGUUUUGUUUCGCAUGAUUCAAAUUAGUAAUGAUUCUUCUAGGAAGAUCAUAGACAAGUUCCAACAAGUUGGACAAACUUAUCAAGAGUUAACUAGAAGAAAAAGAGAAGCUAACAUUGAGCAAGAAGUGAAAGAAAUUAUAAAAUGGUUACAAAAGUUUCCAUAUUAUUCUGAGGGGCCAUAAAUAUAGAGUUUAAACUUUAUUAUGACAAAGAUAAACGAUGGAUGCAUGCCUGGUGCCCACAAAUCUGGCAGUAUAGCUGCAGUUUUUUUAAACUAUUGUUUGCAGCUGAGAACUGUUUCCUAGACUGUAUGUUUAGCUUUCCUCUUUGCAAGGGACAUUGGUGUGGUAAUGAAUAAGAGCUGGAUGACUGCCAAUUAUGAUGUACCUGUUGUAACUGCUUAAACAUACGCCAAGAAGUAAAGCUUAUUGCAGCAGUGCACACCUCAA
rnacentral:lncRNA from 1 species